GCACUCGUAGCCCAAAGGAUCAGAGCGCUGGCCUGCGGAGCCGGAGAUGUAGGUUCGAGUCCUACCGAGUGCA
rnacentral:tRNA from 1 species